AGAGUUUGAUCAUGGCUCAGAGUGAACGCUGGCGGCGUAGAUUAGGCAUGCAAGUCGAGCGAUACUUUUUUCUUGAUGUGGUGAAGCCGCAAGGCUGAUCUAUUGAUGGGGAAAAGAUAUAGCGGCAGACUGGUGAGUAAUGCGCGAGUAAUUUACCUCUAAGUCGGGGAUAGCCUUGCGAAAGCGAGGGUAAUACCCGAUGUGUUUAAGGCUGCAUAAGCAGCCUUAAGUAAAGGAGGCCCGCAAGGGUUUUUGUUUAGAGAUGAGCUCGCGUCCUAUCAGCUAGUUGGUGGGGUAAUGGCCCACCAAGGCUUUUGACAGGUAGCUGGCCUGAGAGGGUGGUCAGCCACAUGGGGACUGAGACACUGCCCCAACUCCUACGGGAGGCUGCAGUCGAGGAUAUUUAGCAAUGGACGAAAGUCUGACUAUGUGACGCCGCGUGAGGGAUGAAGGUCUUCGGAUCGUAAACCUCUUUCGAUAGGGAAGAAAACCUGCUCUUAACAGAGCAGACUGACGGUACCUAGAGAAGAAGCCACGGCCAACUCUGUGCCAGCAGCCGCGGUAAUACAGAGGUGGCGAGCGUUACUCGGAUUUAUUGGGUGUAAAGGGCAAGUAGGCGUCUUGACAAGUUAGGGGUGAAAUCCUGCAGCUCAACUGCAGAACUGCUCUUAAAACUGUUGAGAUUGAGACUGGGAGAGGAAAGCGGAAUUCUCGGUGUAAGAGUGAAAUCUGUAGAUAUCGAGAGGAACACCAGUGGCGAAGGCGGCUUUCUGGUCCAGUACUGACGCUGAGUUGCGAAAGCUAGGGGACCAAACAGGAUUAGAUACCCUGGUAGUCCUAGCCGUAAACUAUGAGCACUAGGUGUUAGAGGUUUACCUUUAGCGCCGCAAGUUAACACGUUAAGUGCUCCACCUGGGGACUACGACCGCAAGGUUAAAACUCAAAGGAAUUGACGG
rnacentral:rRNA from 1 species